rnacentral:rRNA from 1 species
UACGUAGGGUGCAAGCGUUGUCCGGAAUUAUUGGGCGUAAAGAGCUCGUAGGCGGUCUGUUGCGUCGGCUGUGAAAACCCGGGGCUCAACCCCGGGCCUGCAGUCGAUACGGGCAGACUAGAGUGCGGUAGGGGAGACUGGAAUUCCUGGUGUAGCGGUGAAAUGCGCAGAUAUCAGGAGGAACACCGGUGGCGAAGGCGGGUCUCUGGGCCGUAACUGACGCUGAGGAGCGAAAGCGUGGGGAGCGAACAGG